rnacentral:rRNA from 1 species
AGCUCGUGUCGUGAGAUGUUGGGUUAAGUCCCGCAACGAGCGCAACCCUCGUCCUUAGUUGCCAUCAUUAAGUUGGGCACUUUAAGGAAACUGCCGGUGAUAAGCCGGAGGAAGGUGGGGAUGACGUCAAGUCCUCAUGGCCCUUACAGGCUGGGCUACACACGUGCUACAAUGGCAUCUACAGUGGGCAGCUACUCCGCAAGGAUGCGCUAAUCUCCAAAAGAUGUCUCAGUUCGGAUUGUCCUCUGCAACUCGAGGGCAUGAAGGCGGAAUCGCUAGUAAUCGCGGAUCAGCAUGCCGCGGUGAAUACGUUCCCAGGCCUU